rnacentral:rRNA from 1 species
AUUGAACGCUGGCGGCAUGCCUUACACAUGCAAGUCGAACGGCAGCGGGGGAGAAGCUUGCUUUUCCUGCCGGCGAGUGGCGAACGGGUGAGUAAUACAUCGGAACGUGCCCUGUAGUGGGGGAUAACUAGUCGAAAGAUUCGCUAAUACCGCAUACGACCUGAGGGUGAAAGUGGGGGACCGCAAGGCCUCAUGCUAUAGGAGCGGCCGAUGUCUGAUUAGCUAGUUGGUGGGGUAAAGGCCUACCAAGGCGACGAUCAGUAGCUGGUCUGAUAGGACGAUCAGCCACACUGGGACUGAGACACGGCCCAGACUCCUACGGGAGGCAGCAGUGGGGAAUUUUGGACAAUGGGCGAAAGCCUGAUCCAGCAAUGCCGCGUGUGUGAAGAAGGCCUUCGGGUUGUAAAGCACUUUUGUCCGGAAAGAGAUGGCUCUGGUUAAUACCUGGGGUCGAUGACGGUACCGGAAGAAUAAGGACCGGCUAACUACAUGCCAGCCGCCGCGGUAA